GACGAACGCUGGCGGCGUGCUUAACACAUGCCAGUCGAACGGUGAAGCCCUAGCUUGCUGGCGUGGAUCAAUGGCGAAAGGAUGAGUAACGCGUGAGCAACCUGCCCCUGACUCUGGAAUAAGCGCUGGAAACGGCGUCUAAUAAUGGAUACGAGAAGGGUCCGCUUGGGCACUUUCUGGUAAGUUUUUCGGUUGGGGAUGGGCUCGCGGCCUUUCAGCUUGUUGGUGUGGUAAUGGCACACCAAGGCGACGACGGGUAGCCGGCCUGAGAGGGCGACCGGCCACACUGGGACUGAGAUACGGCCCAGACUCCUACGGGAGGCAGCAGUGGGGAAUAUUGCACAAUGGGCGAAAGCCUGAUGCAGCGACGCCGCGUGAGGGAUGACGGCCUUCGGGUUGUAAACCUCUUUCAGCAGGGAAGAAGCGAAAGUGACGGUACCUGCAGAAGAAGCACCGGCUAACUACGUG
rnacentral:rRNA from 1 species